UUACGGCCAUGUCACAUUGAAGCACUGGUUCUCAUUUGAUAGUUAAGCAAUGUUGACCCUGGCCAGUAUCUAGAUGGGUGACCACUUGGGAAUACUAGGUGCUGUAAG